rnacentral:miRNA from 1 species
ACCCUCAGCGGCGGAGAGGGAUUCCUCUCCGCCGUUGAGAGUGUAUACUCUCACCGGCCGAGAGGAAUCCCUCUCGGUCGAUGAGAGU